CCUACGGGAGGCAGCAGUGUGGAAUAUUGCACACUGGGGGAAACCCUGAUGCAGCGACGCCGCGUGAGUGAAGAAGUAUUUCGGUACGUAAAGCUCUAUCAGCAGGGAAGAAAAUGACGGUACCUGACUAAGAAGCCCCGGCUAACUACGUGCCAGCAGCCGCGGUAAUACGUAGGGGGCAAGCGUUAUCCGGAUUUACUGGGUGUAAAGGGAGCGUAGACGGCAGCGCAAGUCUGGAGGGAAAUCCCAUGGCUUAACCAUGGAACUGCUUGGGAAACUGUGCAGCUAGAGUGCAGGAGAGGUAAGCGGAAUUCCUAGUGUAGCGGUGAAAUGCGUAGAUAUUAGGAGGAACACCAGUGGCGAAGGCGGCUUACUGGACUGUAACUGACGUUGAGGCUCGAAAGCGUGGGGAGCAAACAGGAUUAGAUACCCUUGUAGUC
rnacentral:rRNA from 1 species